GGCACUUUGGCGGAGUGGUUAACGCGCUGCCCUGCUAUGUUGCAGGUUAAGGCAGUGCCUGUACGUUGCCCCAUCUUCUCCAAGUUAUUGGUUCGUUAACUGACUUCCUCUUAGUCGGGCGCGUGAGUUCGAAUCUCACAGGUGUCG
rnacentral:tRNA from 1 species